AGCAUUUUAGUUUGCUUGCAAACUAAAGAUGGCGACCGGCGCACGGGUGAGUAACACGUAUCCAACCUGCCGAUAACUCGGGGAUAGCCUUUCGAAAGAAAGAUUAAUAUCCGAUGGUAUAUUAAAACCGCAUGGUUUUACUAUUAAAGAAUUUCGGUUAUCGAUGGGGAUGCGUUCCAUUAGUUUGUUGGCGGGGUAACGGCCCACCAAGACUACGAUGGAUAGGGGUUCUGAGAGGAAGGUCCCCCACAUUGGAACUGAGACACGGUCCAAACUCCUACGGGAGGCAGCAGUGAGGAAUAUUGGUCAAUGGACGAGAGUCUGAACCAGCCAAGUAGCGUGAAGGAUGACUGCCCUAUGGGUUGUAAACUUCUUUUAUAUGGGAAUAAAGUAUUCCACGUGUGGGAUUUUGUAUGUACCAUAUGAAUAAGGAUCGGCUAACUCCGUGCCAGCAGCCGCGGUAAUACGGAGGAUCCGAGCGUUAUCCGGAUUUAUUGGGUUUAAAGGGAGCGUAGGUGGAUUGUUAAGUCAGUUGUGAAAGUUUGCGGCUCAACCGUAAAAUUGCAGUUGAAACUGGCAGUCUUGAGUACAGUAGAGGUGGGCGGAAUUCGUGGUGUAGCGGUGAAAUGCUUAGAUAUCACGAAGAACUCCGAUUGCGAAGGCAGCUCACUAGACUGCAACUGAC
rnacentral:rRNA from 1 species